UUAAUUGAAGAGUUUGAUCAUGGCUCAGAUUGAACGCUGGCGGCAGGCCUAACACAUGCAAGUCGAGCGGUAACAGAAAGAAAGCUUGCUUUCUUUGCUGACGAGCGGCGGACGGGUGAGUAAUGCCUGGGAAUAUACCCUGAUGUGGGGGAUAACUAUUGGAAACGAUAGCUAAUACCGCAUAAUCUCUUCGGAGCAAAGAGGGGGACCUUCGGGCCUCUC
rnacentral:rRNA from 1 species